rnacentral:lncRNA from 1 species
ACCAAGUCUCCAAGGUCUUCCCAAAAAUUUCUCCUUCGAACUCGUAUCCAACCCUACUUGAGUGCGUACGCACUAAUCACAUUGAUAAGUUCUUGUCCUAUUACAAUCUUGAUUGCCAUGAUUCUAUCUCCUACCCUCUUGACAUCUACAACAUCUUGUUCAAGGUCUUGUCCACGAUGAUGCCAACACCGUUUCUCGUUCUA